UCCACGGUGCUCAGAACAUGAGUGUGCUGGACUGGUAUGUCUGCAUUCUGACCUUUGAUUAUCAGUUCCUUCAGGCCAAGUUUAAUUGCUGAAUCCAAAUAAUCUCCAGUCAUGGUGCCUGAUUGACACCUAAAACUAACCAUCCCACCAAUAUCAGCUAUGCCUGCUUGUGCCUGAGCUGAUGUGCCCAGCAGUCUCUUCUUCAGAAGAUUUCUCUCAAAGUCACUUGGAGUAUUGCUGCAGCAACCCCACACAGAGCAAGGGGUCACUUUGAAUUUCCAUCUUGCCUUGACCCACAAGGGUGUCUUAGUCACCAGGAGGUCAAAGCUCAUGAACUGGAGGGCUCGAAAGUGAACACUGAAAAAUUCCUUUAGGAUAAAGGACUCUGUGCAGGAAGUCACACUGGUUUCUACGGCAGAUUGCAGGAUGUCAUGGAAAAUCUCUAAUCUCAUUAAAUCCCUUCAACCCCAGUAUCAUUAUGUAACAACUGCAUCUUUCCAACUUAAAACUGCCUUCUGGGCACUUGUAUUAGUCCUUCACAUAUCCAGUUAAGGAGACCCCCAAGUCAUAGUGGAGUAUGUGGCCACUGGCCACCCACUGAAGAAUAUGAACCCGCUGCCUUACAGGUAGCUGUGGUCAAGUGCAAUAAGUGGCUGAUGGAUUCAAGCCAUGAGGGAGAUUGCUCGCCGUGUCCUUACUCCUUCAUAUGGCUCCCAGAAAAAUGUGGAGGACAACUUUCCAGAAGAUGUUGGGUCAACAAAGAAGGAAACUGGUCCUUGGACGUCUUCAGGAAGCACAGGUAACCACCCCACACCCCAAACCUGCACCCGGGACUGGUAAUGGCAUCUAAUAGCAAAAGUCAUCCAGAGCUGCUCCUCCUUUGGGCUUUCUCCUAUGCUGAUCAUAUCUACAUCCACUUGGUGGCUCAAGUCAAAACUUGGAGAAACUAACUGUCUUUGGUUAGUCACAUCAGUUCCAAUUGCACAUUGGACCCAUAUCACGGUCACCUCAAGCCUCAGUGGCUUUGUUGGUCUCCAAACGGAUCUCUGCAGUUUUGAUGACUUUCCUACCCCAAACCCAUUUCCUGUACAGCAGUCAGAGUAAUCUUCCUUAAAAGUCCAAAUCCAGUCACCAUUUUCCCAUUAAAUGAAUCAAAUGCCUUAUUCUAUGAAUUUUUACAAUUUUAGAAAUAUAUAAAGAGAGGAUUAAUUAUAGAUAAUUGGGUGAUAAAUC